CAAAAAACUAGAAAUUCGGAAGAAGAAGACAUUAAAUCACAUAACUGGCAGAAAACCAUUCUCAGUUGUUCGAGUAGAGGAAACUAAUAAGAAGAAUGGAGUUCCUGCAACUCGCUUAGAGGUGUGGAUGGCUGGGUACUCGAAGGAUAACAAACCAAGUAAUGAUAAAGUUGCUGAGGUCAUGACACAAAUGAAGCAUCUUGAGGCGCAAUCCAAUGCUACAGAUGAAGAAAUUAUCACACAGGUUCUAGGGCCUGAGCGACCUGGUCGUGUUCGAACAUAUGGAUUGGGUCCUUCUCCGACAGAUGUCUUUGGAGGCGGAUAU